UCUAUUUCUCCUUCCCCUCCUCCUCCUCCUUACUCCUCGACGAAACCCUAGGCUUUCUCGUCCUCCAAAUCCCUCUUCGUCCCCGUUUCCAAUCCCUCUUUCGCCAAUCGAAUCCCUCCCAAGGUAACAUCGGCUCCUGUCAGUAACCCUUUUCGUCCGUCGCCGCUCGGACGGAGGCUUCUCUCUCAGGCAUGUUGGAACUUUCCUGUGUCCCUCUUUCGAUCCCGUUGUCGCCCUGGCGAAAAUGAUGCUACUGUGGUGUUAGUGAGCUUGGAGACGCCGCAUUGAAGAAGAAGAAGAAGAAGAAGAAGAAGAAGAAGAAGAAGCUUCAUUCCGUUGUCUCUGCUCAUCGAUCGCGGCCUUACAAAGAGAUGUUCCUCGGAGGUGUAGGAUGGUCUUCUGUACCUUUAAUCGUGGAUACCACCACCUAUCUUAUCUCUCUGAUGAAGAAGUGUCAGUUCGUCGAGAAAUGUCUCAAAAUCGUUGACGAGAAAGCCAGAAGGAUGGAUCAGAUAUUCGUUUUCCAGGUCAGAGAGUAUUUAGCUGUCUUAUGGCUUUCAUCAGCUAGAUGGGUGGAUACUUCUACAAGUAUCUGAUUUACCAAAUAUUGCUAUGGAGCACUCUGGAGGCAGGCCCUGAGGAAACCGGUUGACGUCGUUGCAGUAGUUGUAGAUCAUGUAGUUCUUCUGCGCCCAUCUCAUCCUCGCAUGGCUCGCGGAAUCCAGCUCUUGGUUCCACCACCCACUCUUGGCAGGCGUGCAGCUGGACCUACCGGAAGCCUUAAUGCAUGCAUUGGCAUUAAAAUUCCUGUAGGAGGCGACGAAGGGUGCCUUCGUCCAAUCGGUCUUGAUGAGCCCUCCUCUGGUAGCCCAGUCCUCAGCGUUCCAGAGGCUGGAGUAGAUCCUCAUGGGUUGGUUCUUGGGAAAUGCAAUGCCCCUCGAUUCCAGGUUCUUGAAGUCUCUGAUGGGAGUGCCAUCAACCAUGAAGCUGAGACCAUCACAAGCCAGCGGUAAGAUUCAAUUUCAUGUCUCACCUGUGGUAAGUUCGUUUUACCGCAUACAGAAUUUUGAGGUCUUACAUGAUGUGUCUUGGGUUCCAGAGGAUGGAGUAGGUGUGGAAAUCCUUGGUGGGAUCAAACCAGAGCUUGAACUGCAUCUCCCUGUUCCCCUUCCCCUGGGUGAACACAUUGGUGUGCAGAGUGUAAGGGUCUCCGCUGAGAUUCCCGAGGAACUCGAAGUCGAUCUCGUCAUGAGUCGGUCCUUGCGAAGACAACUGCAAUAACAAAUCAGGCCGAGCUUAAGGCAUCAGCUCCGGCAACUAGAGCCAUGAAAGCGAAGGCAUGUCUGGGGGAAGAGCUUACGUAGUAGGCGGUGACAGUGCCGGCAGAGUUCCCGGGCACGAGUUUGAUCUGCAUGUCGAUCUUGCCGAAGAGAUACUCGUUCUUGGACUGGAAGCCGGAGCCGGAGGCCUUGUCGAGGGAGAGGGUAAGGAGGUGACCAUUGUUGAGGAUCUUGGCACGGCCGUCGCCCCAGGUGAUGUCGAAGUCCUGGUAGAAGUUACCAGCGGAGGCAACGGCGACCAAGGAGCAAGCCAGCAAAAAAAACCUCAUUGCCAUGGUAUGCAAUAGCAGAAACGUUAACAAGCUUCGUAGGAGGGGGAAGCAGAUGACGAUGAGACGCGGGGUCGGCGGACGCGGCCAUGGUGCUGCUGUCUCAAGUGGUGGAGCGGCGUCGGACGAAAGCCUCGUGAUCAUGGUCCACUAAAGCGGGCGGCUCCUCCGAUAUUUGAAUGCGACUGGCCAGGUGGCGUCAUCAGGUACGAUGCAAUCCCCACAAAGCUCAUUUUUCUUCUUUUAUAGCGUGCAUGGCAAGCACUACAACAAUGUGAAGUUACGUUUCACCACCGGUUUAUAUGUUGCCCUUGCACUUAGAGCAGUUGGGACCCAUGGUCCCGGCCGUCCGUUCAAUCACAAGGCCAGUAGCGUCGGCGGGUGCAGAGUAGAAGGGUUGGGUGAGAGGAGAGACAUCGGGGUGGCUGGAUUUUCCAGCUGUUGUUAGAGUGUCGUUUUUAGAGACCGACGUUGACCGUGACGCGUUGUGAUCAUGCCGUUGUCGGGCGAUAAGGAAGUGACGAGGGGGUUUCCAACUAAAGGAGUUGCCUCCAUGGAGAGGAAACUUUAGAACGUUGCCGUGCAUUCAUGAGCUUCGUUCUGCGAUCUCAAGCCGCAUCAAGGCAUGGCCGGAUGGUAUGUAUUAAGCUAUGACGCCGAGUGCGUUUAGGCUGUCAUGGGUGAGUUAUAUUUUGCUUGCCUUCCUAAUCAAUGCGGAAAAGAUCCUUCGGCCCGCUCUCCCUUGUAAUUUGGCAGGCUCUAAUUCCUUUUGGUAGUGCGGAUUAGAACAUGCAGAUUUUCAUCUCGAGUCACAUUUUGAUCA